rnacentral:misc_RNA from 1 species
GAGAAUUCUACGAACUCCAUUAACAAUAAUGUCCUGCGUGUGAUCAGACGGAUACCUCCUUUUCUGUUUCUCUAGAUCCAACGAGUUUUCCGUGACAGACAAAUUUGCCCACUUCUUAUAUUUAUCACUUGAGUUGACAAUAGUUAGAAGGUACUGCACAAUUACAUGUUCCCCAACUAGGAUGUCUCUAAUUGCCCCUGUUAAAGCAAGCUUGGAACAGACCUCAAUGUUGUGAAUCUUGGGAGGAAAAAUGCCUGGGGUGUCUAAUACAUAAAUAUUGGGAUGACUAGCUAUCUGUAAUUCAAAGCAACUUAAAAAGAAAAU